CAAACAAUUCUACUUCUAGGUUCCGAGAUCAUGGGCAGCAGCAGCACACUGUCAUCGGUGCGGGAGAUCCGGCGUUUGCAGCGUGCAGACGGGCCUGCAGCCAUCCUCGCGGUCGGCACGGCGAACCCGCCCAAUUGCGUGUCCCAGGAGGAGUACCCGGACUACUACUUCCGCGUCACCAAGAGCCAACACCUCACUGGCCUCAAAAAACAACUCAAGACCUUCUGUAAGCAGAAAGAAAAGAAUACAUGCAAAUAUAGUAGUAGACUAGUAGUCCAAACUUGUUUAUACAUACCUAACGAUGAUGUACGGUCCAAACUUGGUUUGUAUGAUGAUCAGGCGAGAUGA
rnacentral:rRNA from 1 species